rnacentral:misc_RNA from 1 species
GAUGAAGAACGCAGCGAAAUGCGAUAAGUAGUGUGAAUUGCAGAAUUCAGUGAAUCAUCGAAUCUUUGAACGCACAUUGCGCCCUUUGGUAUUCCAAAGGGCAUGCCUGUUCGAGCGUCAUUUGUACCCUCAAGCUUUGCUUGGUGUUGGGCGUCUUGUCUCUAGCUUUGCUGGAGACUCGCCUUAAAGUAAUUGGCAGCCGGCCUACUGGUUUCGGAGCGCAGCACAAGUCGCACUCUCUAUCAGCAAAGGUCUAGCAUCCAUUAAGCCUUUUUUUCCACUUUUGACCUCGGAUCAGGUAGGGAUACCCGCUGAACUUAAGCAUAUCAAUAAGCGGAGGA